rnacentral:rRNA from 1 species
GAUGAACGCUAGCGGCAGGCUUAAUACAUGCAAGUCGAGGGGCAGCAUGACUGUAGCAAUACAGUUGAUGGCGACCGGCGAACGGGUGCGGAACACGUACAGAACCUUCCUUCGAGCGGGGAAUAGCCCAGAGAAAUUUGGAUUAAUACCCCAUAGUAUUACGGAGUGGCAUCACUUUGUAAUUAAAGAUUUAUCACUUGAAGAUGGCUGUGCGGCUGAUUAGAUAGUUGGCGGGGUAACGGCCCACCAAGUCUACGAUCAGUAGCUGAUGUGAGAGCAUGAUCAGCCACACGGGCACUGAGACACGGGCCCGACUCCUACGGGAGGCAGCAGUAAGGAAUAUUGGUCAAUGGACGCAAGUCUGAACCAGCCAUGCCGAGUGAAGGAUUAAGGUCCUCUGGAUUGUAAACUUCUUUUAUCUGGGACGAAAAAAGGCGAUUCUUCGUCACUUGACGGUACCAGAUGAAUAAGCACCGGCUAACUCCGUGCCAGCCGCCGCCGUAAUAC